AUUGAACGCUGGCGGCAGGCCUAACACAUGCAAGUCGAGCGAGUGGGGACGGGUGAGUAACACGUGGGUAACCUCCCAUCAGAGGGGAUAACACUUGGAAACAGGUGCUAAACAGGUACUGAUGGAUGGUCUCGCGGUGAAUUAGCUAGUUGGUGAGGUAACGGCUCACCAAGGCCACGAUGCAUAGCCGACCUGAGAGGGUGAUCGGCCACACUGGGACUGAGACACGGCCCAGACUCCUACGGGAGGCAGCAGUAGGGAAUCUUCGGCAAUGGACGAAAGUCUGACCGAGCAACGCCGCGUGAGUGAAGAAGGUUUUCGGAUCGUAAAACUCUGUUGUUAGAGAAGCGGUAUCUAACCAGAAAGCCACGGCUAACUACGUGCCAGCAGCCGCGGUAAUAC
rnacentral:rRNA from 1 species